UAGACUGAAAAGGCGCUAGGAAGAGGCGGUCGGCGCGCCGCGUCACCUUCCAAGCUCCGCCCGCCAGAAGCGCCUUCUAAGCUCGUUCUUCCGGCUGCUUUCCUCCUCUCUUCCUUUCUCCGCCAUCGUGGUGUGUGCUUUAUUCCGUUUCUCGCCAUGUCUUCUCACAAGACUUUCAGGAUUAAGCGAUUCCUGGCCAAGAAACAAAAGCAAAAUCGUCCCAUUCCCCAGUGGAUUCGGAUGAAAACUGGUAAUAAAAUCAGGUACAACUCCAAAAGGAGACAUUGGAGAAGAACCAAGCUGGGUCUAUAAGAAAUUACACAUGCGAUGGCACACAUAUUUAUGCUGUCUGAAAGUCACAAUCGUGUUACCAAAUCAAGCUGAAAAAUGUCACCGCUAUCUGGAGAAGUUUGAACAGUUUCCUCUCUGGAUCUGUUAUGAAGGCAUUAGUUAGUACAACCCACAGUGCUUCUAUUAUUCAUGUUAAAAAAAAACAAGAAGGCUUUGGUUGCCUGGGUUCAGUAAUAAAUAUGUGAGACCUUUCA